GGGCCAGAUAAAACAAGGUAGAGGGCCAGAUUGGGCCCUUGGGCCUUGUGUUUGCCACCUGUAACCUAUGAGGAACAGGGAUUUGUUCUUGGGACGGUGUGCUUAAGAUGAUUGCCUUCUAAAGGAGGAGGACAUACUGUGAGUUUCUGAAUUUCCUAGAGAGCUUUUAGUUGAGGGAGAAUCUUACUUGAGUAAGAGUGAUUUUUCUUUGCUUUGUCCUUGCAGGUGCUUUGUUAAUAGUAUUGCCUGAGCAUUUCCAAAUGAUCACUGCUUUAUCCCUUCUUUUUCCUCAUUAUUCCUUUGAAGCCUCCUUGCUUUAUCCAUUUGCUUAGCUAAAUUCUGUUGUUUGCUGUCUCCAUAAAAGCCAAUCUCAGACCUAAUGGGUUAACUCUUCUGCACACAAACUUUUUAUGCAAGGACAAAUCAGAUGUUCAGCAUAAAUCACAUUGUUUGCACAAAUGCUAUAGGCAUAGUGAGCCACUCAGUAUUUUAGUGAAAUUUUUAUAUCAGUAAGAGGACUGUUUACCAGUCAAGUUCCCAGAUGCCAGCUUUGCAAGCAGGCCAUUCUAAGAAUGGUUAUGCUAAACACCUGUCCUUUUUGGUAGUCUGGAAAUAUUUGUACUGAUAGGCAGAGAGUCCCUCCAUGGCCAGCCCCAAAUGAAAACUGAGUGCUGAGUCUGUUGUUAAACCUCCCUGGUAGACAGCACUGAGCACAUAAUGUCACAAGUAGUUGCUGAGAGUUGAGUGCAUCCUGCAUCCUGUAUGAUUCCACUGAGAAAGGACUCUUGGAAGUUUGCACUUGUUUUUUUCCAGACUGCCCCAUGUACCUUUUCCCUCUACUGAUUUGGAUUUGUUUCCUUUUGAUGUAAUAAAUCUUAGCUGUGAAUACAACUGUAUGUAGGGUCCUCUGACCCUCCUAGCAGAUCAUCAAGCCUGGGCUUGGUCCUGGGAAGUACAACACAGUUUAGAAGAUAAUACUCAGUGUUAACAUUGAGAAGAGUUCUUUAAAGAGAAUCUGUACCAAUCUUGUAUUAUAGAUGAAGAAACUGAGGCUCAGGGAUAUAGUUACUUUCUCAAAGAGCACAGCUGGUAGUGGAAAAUCUGGGAUAACUAUUCCACAUUAUAUCUCAAAAAUUUGUGUCAUUUUGCUUUUCUUGAACCUGUUUUUAUAUUCUAUUAGGGGAAUAAUGCUUUCAUUUUUUUCACCCCUGUAAUUUUCUGUGAUGUAUCAACCAAGUCUGUUUAUGUUAGCUCUUAGCUUUUGGGGGAGGAGGGGUGAAGAACUUUGGUCAUCUCCUUUCAAGCUUUCAUUUUUUUCCCUUAUUUUCUUUUUCCUAUUAAUGCUACGGAUCACUUCAUUUGACCUUUGUCUCUUUGUCUUCUGGCUUGAAGUGUAAUAGCCAAGGCGUAUAGAAUAUCACAAGUGUAGAUCUUUUGUACUUUGUUUUGAAUAUCUUUCUUGAGGCCCAGCAUUUUAUUGACUUUGUUAACAGCAAAAGUACAUUAGUCUUCACUUGGAAAAAAAUUCUAUAAGAACCUUUUUAACCUUUAAAUCAUAAAUAAUUUAGCAUGCUUUUCCCCCUUCAUGUAGUUUUGACUAAACAGGAGUUCAAAUUUUUAUUUGAUUUACAAUAGAGGCCCCUAAUCUUGUAACUUCUUUUCAGAAUUCUUUAUUUCCAUCUCUUAUGAUUAACUGGAAUGAGGGAAUAGAUUGGCUGCUGGCAUUAAUCCCCUCCAUUCAAGUUCACCAGCUUGUGCAACUCCAGAGGGCACCUUUUAUGUUGUGUUUUGUGUGGAUGAGAUCUCCAGGAGCUGUGAAGUGCUGGGGCCCAUCUCCCAGAGCAGAUCAGAUGGCUGUGGUGUUCAUGAUUGGUUUAUGAUUGUGCAGGUGAGGUUGUGAAACCUUAUUGGUAUAUCAUCACGUAUUCCUUUGUAAGCUUGUUUUAUUAGAGUACACUCUGGGGAUGAGUGGAAGAAAUUUUUAUAAUUUUUUCUGACCCUCUCACUCCCCCAUCCAUGUUCUUAUCUUCUAGCUCCUCUGCUUUUCUGCCUUGGUACUCUUAACUGUUCAGAAUGAGCAGAGUUCAUAUCCCCGUGAGUCACACAAAGUUCUGUGAAUUUCACGUACUAAUGCUAGAAUUCUGUAUUUGGAACUUUUAGAGUAGAGUGGUAAUGCUAAUAUUGUACCUUUCCUAGAGUCUUCUUUGGAAAUACCCAAAUGACCCCUCUUUUCUGUGUUCUAUAAUAGUCUCUUAGAUCUCUAUAACUAUUCCCAGGUGUAUAUAUAAUGGGAAAUUUUACCAUUUUAGAUGGCCAGCUAUUUCUGAGGUAAAGAACAGUUUGGAAAA